rnacentral:rRNA from 1 species
GACGAACGCUGGCGGCGUGCUUAACACAUGCAAGUCGAACGGAAAGGCCUGCUUUCCCUUGUGGAUUGCGGGUACUCGAGUGGCGAACGGGUGAGUAACACGUGAGUGAUCUGCCCCCAACUUGGGUAUAAGCCUGGGAAACUGGGUCUAAUUCCCGAUAGGACUGCAGGGUGGUGCCUGUGGUGGAAAACGAUUUUCUAGUGGUUGGGGAUGAGCUCGCGGCCUAUCAGCUUGUUGGUGGGGUAAUGGCCUACCAGGGCGGCGACGGGUAGCCGGCCUGAGAGGGGGGACGGCCACAUUGGGACUGAGAUACGGCCCAGACUCCUACGGGAGGCAGGAGUGGGGAAUAGUGCACAAUGGGCGGAAGCCUGAUGCAGCGACGCCGCGUGGGGGAUGACGGCCUUCGGGUUGUAAACUCCUUUCGACCGCGAGGAAGCCACCUGGAUGGAAGGGUGGUGACGGUAGUGGUAGAAGAAGCACCGGCUAACUACGUG